AGCCGCCUGAGUGCUGGAAUUACAAGUGCGAACCACCAUGCCUGGCUAAGUGACCAUCUUCUUAAGCCUGAGUAGUUCUGCCUUGGGCUGGGGGUGUAGGUACUUUGUACUUAGGAUGUACAAGGUCCUGGAGUUCACCACCAGCAUCAGAAAAGAACAGAGAAGGCAAGAAAAAAAAAGUGAAGAAUCCUGCCUUGACUCGAAAGAGGAUACAGUCUCUGCUGAGCAGCUCACGUAGGCUCUUACACUCCAUGUGUGGAGGACCAUGAGACACCUGCUGCCUUCCAUCUGCCUGCACGGCACCUGCUUCCAGCGCACAGAACAACCUCAUUCUUCACAAAGAAAACCCCAGCCCUCGGGCAGAAAGGCAAGAUGGAGUAGCAGGGAUCAAAUCUAUCCUCCUGCCUAAAACGAGCAACCAAACAGACAUGGAUUUCAAGAUGUUGGACAUUAGGACAGUGAUGCCUGAGAAAAAGAAUGAGGUUCCCACUCCAGUCUCCACCAGGAUUUCUCUUCCAGACUCACCGAUGGCUUCUUUGUUGCUGCAUUACAGUAAGUCCUCAACUUACAAACUUUCAGGUAACCAACUGUCACAGGUACAAAUGGACCUCGCUACGAGCAUUUGUAGAUGGGAACAAAUCUCGGAAGUAGCUCACGUGUCUGCUGGUCUUUGUCUCAGUUGUGCUGCUGUGAGCUUACUGUGCAGUGUGCCAGUGGACACAGUGCUCAGUCAGAGCCCAGGAUGUCCGGGAUCAAGAGGAAGAGCAGUGGUGAUGCGGCAGGGACAGCUAGCAAGCACAAAGCAAUAACCAUGGAAACAAAAGUGAAAAUCCUGGAGAGACUAAACCGAGGUGAAAAGAUGGUAGACAAAGAGCCAAGAGGAAGAACCAAGGAGAUUCACAACACAGGAAAAGACAAGAGGAUCCUCCUUACUUGAAGAGGCACCGAUAGUUUUUGAGGCACAGGACCCCAACGUGGGACAGUACACAAAAGUUGCAACAGCCGUUUAGAAUGUCAAACAGUGCAAGAGACACCUAAGAAAAAAAGAGGCACUACUCAGACAUCGUUUUUUCAAGUGAAUGGAAAGAACUGAACCCAUCAAAAACCCUGUGUCAUCAGCCUGAGGCGUGGUCUCUUGCCCUCCGUCUCUGAAAGGUGAUGACCCUUCAGCUCCACUGUCUCCCACCUACCCCCUCCUCCAGCUCAUCCCUUCUUGUCAGCUCGCUCCCUGCAAUCCCCUGUACGCCACUUGUACUGUAGGGUAC